GACGAACGCUGGCGGCGUGCUUAACACAUGCAAGUCGAACGAUGAACCCGGAGCUUGCUCCGGUGGAUUAGUGGCGAACGGGUGAGUAACACGUGAGUAACCUGCCCUUGACUCUGGGAUAACUGCGGGAAACUGUAGCUAAUACCGGAUACGACCCUCGGCGGCAUCGCCAGGGGGUGGAAAGAAUUUCGGUCAAGGAUGGACUCGCGGCCUAUCAGCUAGUUGGUGAGGGAACGGCUCACCAAGGCGACGACGGGUAGCCGUCCUGAGAGGGUGGCCGGCCAGACUGGGACUGGGACACUGCCCAGACUCCUACGGGCGGCAGCAGUGGGGAAUAUUGCACAAUGGGCGCAAGCCUGAUGCAGCAUCGCCGCGUGAGGGAUGACGGCCUUCGGGUUGUAAACCUCUUUUAGUAGGGAAGAAGCGAAAGUGACGGUACCUGCAGAAAAAGCACCGGCUAACUACGUGCCAGCCGCCGCCGUAA
rnacentral:rRNA from 1 species